rnacentral:rRNA from 1 species
UACGAAGGGGGCUAGCGUUGCUCGGAAUCACUGGGCGUAAAGCGCACGUAGGCGGAUUGUUAAGUCAGGGGUGAAAUCCUGGAGCUCAACUCCAGAACUGCCUUUGAUACUGGCGAUCUCGAGUCCGGGAGAGGUGAGUGGAACUGCGAGUGUAGAGGUGAAAUUCGUAGAUAUUCGCAAGAACACCAGUGGCGAAGGCGGCUCACUGGCCCGGUACCGACGCUGAGGUGCGGAAGCGUGGGGAGCAAACAGG